rnacentral:rRNA from 1 species
GAUGAACGCUGGCGGCGUGCCUAAUACAUGCAAGUCGAGCGAACAGACGAGGAGCUUGCUCCUCUGACGUUAGCAGCGGACGGGUGAGUAACACGUGGAUAACCUACCUAUAAGACUGGGAUAACUUCGGGAAACCGGAGCUAAUACCGGAUAAUAUAUUGAACCGCAUGGUUCAAUAGUGAAAGACGGUUUUGCUGUCACUUAUAGAUGGAUCCGCGCCGCAUUAGCUAGUUGGUAAGGUAACGGCUUACCAAGGCAACGAUGCGUAGCCGACCUGAGAGGGUGAUCGGCCACACUGGAACUGAGACACGGUCCAGACUCCUACGGGAGGCAGCAGUAGGGAAUCUUCCGCAAUGGGCGAAAGCCUGACGGAGCAACGCAGCGUGAGUGAUGAAGGUCUUCGGAUCGUAAAACUCUGUUAUUAGGGAAGAACAAAUGUGUAAGUAACUAUGCACGUCUUGACGGUACCUAAUCAGAAAGCCACGGCUAACUACGU